rnacentral:rRNA from 11 species
CCUUGAAACACCAACGGAACGUAUUAUUCUCACGCCUGGUCGUACUCAUAACCGCAGCAGGCCUCCUAGGUUAACAGCCUCUAGUUGAUAGAACAAUGUAGGUAAGGGAAGUCGGCAAAAUGGUUCCGCAACUUCGGGAGAAGGAAUGGCUCUGAAGGCUGGGUGCGGGGGUCCUCCGCUUGAGGCCGGCUGGCUGCGCUGGGACUACGGCCUUUGCGCCGCGGACCCGGCGCGGCCGUCCGGCGGACGGCGGAGGAGCGCUCCGGCAUUCCCCGCACGCUGAACAGCCGCUUCAGAACUGGCGCGGACAAGGGGAAUCCGACUGUUUAAUUAAAAC